rnacentral:piRNA from 1 species
UGCCAUGACAGUAACAACCAAAUUAUACUC